AGAGUUUGAUCCUGGCUCAGGACGAACGCUGGCGGCGGGCUUAACACAUGCAAGUCGAACGAGAACGCGUCCUUCGGGGCGCAAGUACAGUGGCGCACGGGUGAGUAACGCGUAGGCAACCUGCCCUCGAGUGGGGAAUAACUAUCGGAAACGGUAGCUAAUACCGCAUGAAGUCCUGAACUGCAUGGUUCAGGAUGAAAGUCUUCGGAUGCUCGGGGAUGGGCCUGCGUCGGAUUAUGCUUGUAGGUAGGGUAACAGCCUACCUAGGCUACGAUCCGUAGCUGGUCUGAGAGGACGAUCAGCCACACUGGCACUGAGACACGGGCCAGACUUCUACGGAAGGCAGCAGUGGGGAAUCUUGGGCAAUGGGCGAAAGCCUGACCCAGCCACGCCGCGUGGAGGAAGACACCCCUACCGGGCGUAAACUCCUUUUUUACGGGAAGAAGACCUUCCUCGGGAAGGUUUGACGGUACCGUACGAAUAAGCACCGGCUAACUCCGUGCCAGCAGCCGCGGUAAUACGGAGGGUGCAAGCGUUGUCC
rnacentral:rRNA from 1 species